rnacentral:rRNA from 1 species
UACGUAGGGUGCGAGCGUUGUCCGGAAUUAUUGGGCGUAAAGAGCGCGUAGGCGGUUUGUGGCGUCUGAUGUGAAAGCUCGGGGCUUAACUCCGGGCCUGCAGUGGGUACGGGCAGACUAGAGUGCGGUAGGGGAGACUGGAAUUCCUGGUGUAGCGGUGAAAUGCGCAGAUAUCAGGAGGAACACCGGUGGCGAAGGCGGGUCUCUGGGCCGAUACUGACGCUGAGGAGCGAAAGCGUGGGGAGCAAACAGG